rnacentral:lncRNA from 1 species
UAGGUAAUAAAUCCCUAGAGUGCAUAGUUAAGCACUACACUUUACAGUGUUACACACAUUGUAUUGGCUCAUAUUCUCCAGCUUAUGUGCAAAUCUAUUCGUUGCCUUUCAACAAGCCAGGAUUACACAGUAGAACUGCCAAUCCCUAAAAUUAGUUUUUAAAAAAACACUUUAUGUAACUCAGAAAAUAUGGCUCAUCUCUUCGAAGGCUGGAGACAGGUUAAAAUUUUACUUUUCUUUUUUUCCAAGAGAAAAGAUAAGAACCAACUAUCAGGAGACGUUAGGAAUAUGAGGUAGUUACACUGAGAGGUAGCUCUGUGGUGAUAUACACUUUGAAACACUUUCACACAUUGAGGCUCCUUUCUGACAUCAAGUUGAAAUCACUUUAGCAUGGAUAAUUUUUAAAUGAAAUAGCUUCUGAGGGUGGAAAAGAACCAUAUUGGAUUUUAUCUGGUUAUUAAAUUCAAAAAAAUGUCUUGUAUCGAGAAAGUGGAUAUUGUCCCAGCAUUAUUAAAAUAUUCUAUUUAGAAAAAUGACAUUGUUACUCAUUCGAAACAGAUGUUGGUCUAGAUAAAGGGAAAUGAUUUCACAGGUCUCAAACACAAGCAUGUGGGAUUACAGAAAAAUAAUUAUAGCGCAAGCAGGGAGUGCUGCCUCUGCCGCCGUGCAGACAGUGUUUGGGUGAUUUGCUGCUGUCUGACAGGGUACCCCAAAACUUUACGGCUUAAAAUAAGGACUGGAAAGCUUUUCUUGCAAAGUAGUUUCUUUUAAACUCUCUAUGGCACCUGCUCAGCGCAGCUGUUGUAAGUCUAAAGCAGUCAAAGACAGUAUGUAUAAACAGGUGGGCUCAUGAUCGGCAAUGAGGAACUUAGUUAAAAGGGCCGUUCCCUCUUUAUAAAACCCUCUUGGCCUCCCACACACCCAAUAUUAUGAUUUUUUUUAUCCUUUAAAAUCUCAUCUCAAAUAGCCCAGAAACCACUACUACUCACACAUUAAAACACAGACAGAAUAUUGUUUUCUGACAGUAAGUGUAGAAUGUGCACAUUGUGGGGGGGAUUAUUUCAUCAAUGUUCCUCUCACCUACGUAAGCUGCAUGCACAAGAUCUUCUUGAUUGCUUACCAGUCCAGUUCCCAGCAUGCAGUAAGUGCUAAACUAAUGAAUUUGGAAAACAAACAAAAGGAAAGGGUCUCUCAAUGAAUGGAUUUGCUUUCACACCAAAUAUUAACUUGAAUUGUACAUGAAAAGGGAGCAGAGAGCCACAGACACAUUUACCAAAUCACUCACAUUAUAAAAUUGGUCACAGGCUGGAGAGAUGGCUCAGUGGUUAAGAGCACCGACUGUUCUUCUGAAGGUCCUGAGUUCAAAUCUCAGCAACCACAUGGUGGCUCACAACCAUCUGUAAUGAGAUCUGACGCCCUCUUCUGGUGUAUCGGAAGACAGCUACAGUGUAUUUAGAUAUAAUAGUAAAUAAAUCUUUUAGAUAAAUAAAUAAAAGUAGGUCACGCCGGGCGUGGUGGCACACACCUUUAAUCCCAGCACUCGGGAGGCAGAGGCAGGCGGAUUUCUGAGUUCGAGGCCAGCCUGUUCUACAAAGUGAGCUCCAGGACAGCCAGGGCUAUACAGAGAAACCCUGUCUCGGAAAAAAAAAAAAAAAGUGGGUCAGUGAAAUUUAUUUUAAAGCCAUAGAGAAGAAAUUCUCCUGAUAAUAUUCAGUUUUUAAAUAUAGGAAAAGAACUCUUAAAAACAAAUGUAUCACACCAUAUAUUAUUUUACCUAGAGACUAGAUUAAAUAGCUGAAUUACAGUUCCUUAAAGGGUAAAGAGUUGAAAGAUAAAUUUGUUUUCGGUACAAUUCAGCCGAAGGGGGCAGAAUACAACCAAUGUAUUAAUUUAAAAGUGAAUGGGAUGGUCUGAGGGGAAGCAGGACCUGG